GUGUGUCUCUGAAAUGGACACCAGGCAGCCGGCCCUGCAGUGUGGGAAGAUGCUAACUGGCCUCAGCUGCUACCGGGAAGCGGGCACUGCGACCAGGGUGAGGAAGCACGGCUGGGUGACCCUCUGAGCAACAGGUACAAAAAUGAGAGCAAGAAAAGGAAAGUGAAAAAACAUGUUCCUGUCAUCUCCACUCUGUCGCGGGACGUCUCCCCGCCCCGCCGGGCUCCCGCCCACUGAGCCUGGGUCUCUGACCCUCCCGUCCUGGUCUCCCCGAGCCUCAGCCCCGAGGAGUCACGAAUCGGGCAGUGUGGCUUCUCCGUUUUCUGCCAUAGAAAGGGUCGCCCCGUGGCUGGUCUGCGCAUCUCACCCCCGCCUUCCACUGCGUGCCCUUGACUGAAGACGGGUGGUUUGUUGUAAAGAUCAAGCAACGCCAUGUACGUGAAAGCACCUGAAAACUAUCAAGUGGCCUUCAGAUGUGAAGUAUUAGACUCUCUGCCCUCUUCCUUGUUUCUCUGAAGUCAUUUUCAGUGUUUGGCUUGUGCCUGAUGGCAGAAGGCACUUACAAUGGAGCCCCGGGUGACGAAGAAGCGGGCCGAGGGGCUCAGAGCGGCGAGGGCCGCGACAGCAAACAGGCAAAGGGCUUCUCGGCGCUUCCGACGGCCCCGGGUAGAGACGGCGGGGCUUUCACCACUGGCGGCGGCGGGAGAGCGGCCAGGGUCCUGCGCGCUCGUGGCGCGCCGGUCCGGGCGAAGGCCUCGCGGGGCGCGGGCGGCCGCCCCACGGCCCGCGCACCCUGCGGCAGCAUUACCGGAGGAGGGAGG